ensembl:lncRNA
CUGUGGCCAGCCCGUUUGCCUGGGUCUCGGGCUCUAUUGCGUUAAAUCGAGUUGGCAAUCUGUAUUUGCAAAACGCUUUGUCAUCAUUGACUGGAAGAUCCCAGGGUCCCUUUGGUACAGCAGAGGGUCUGGAAGGUGGAGGGUGGUCACGGUCACCCACCUCUCACCUUUGUUGACAUAACUAGAUGCCAGGAUCCAAGAGCAGAGCAAUCAGAAGACAGGGUUGGCCUUGGGAAGCCAGGAGCCAAGAUCUGGGCGAUGGGUAAUGCGUGGAGGACUCGUAUAAGGCUUUAGAGGCUACACGUUGCCCAACAACAUGGAGCUGGCCAGGACACCAGGGUGUCUGCCAGCCUCUGGAGGCCACGCUUGGCACAGCCAUGAAAGCCACAGCCACAAACACUGACAAGGCAAGAAUAAAAUAGGGUGAGAAACCAGCUUUCCUUUGCUUCUCAGACUCUUUGGAAGAUUCUGGAAGGGCAUUUGCUUACCCCCUAGAGCGAGAGCCCAGAUUCCUCUAUGGUUCGGUCAGGAAGUGCAAUGAAGCCUCCAUCGUGGCCAGGGCCUGUGCCACGACACCCGGCCCCUGCCUUCAAGGAGCUCACACUUGGAUGACUUAAGCCAAGAGCGAUGACGCAGAGGGGUCCACACGUGACCCUCUGAGGUCAAGGUGGUCUAGUCCCUGGCAAGGGCCCCCAGAGGGGCGGAGCUGAAUCCAGCCAAGAAUCAACAACCCAGGACAGCAGGGCCUCAUCAACGAGAAAGCCACCUCUCUGCUGUCUCCUCCCACGCGUGCUUCCCAAGAGAUGAGAGCCACGGUGCUUAGAUGCUAAUUGGCUACAGCGGUACAAAAAUGUUUAAUAUGCUGGGGACGGCCAGGGGUCCAAUGUGAUGUCCCAAGGAAAGCAUCAGGCAUCCUUUCUGCUUAAAGAGGAACAAGCUUACCAUGGACGAAUCCUGCUCGUGAGACAAGAAGAGAGCCUCCUCCUGGCCUGGCAGGACCUCAGAGCCCCAGAGACAGGGCCACCAGGGCCACCAGAAGCGGUGUCUUCUGCUCCAGAGGCAGAACAAACAUUUCCAUGGAGCGGCGACUUUAAGCUCACCCGGAGGGCGGAUGUGAGCUGUGAGAGCCCAGUGAGUCAAGGGCAAGCCCCAUGGACAGCAGCACACCAGGCUUCCCUGUCCUUCACCAUCUCCCGGAGUCUGCUUAAUCUCAUGUCCAUUGAGUCAGUGAUGCUGCCCAACCGUCUCAUCCUCUGUCACCCCCUUCUCUCCUGCCCUCAGUCUUCUUCAGCAUCAGGAUCUUUUCCAGUGAGUCCACUCUUCACAUCAGGUAGACAAAGUAUUGGAGUUUCAGCUUCAGCAUCAGUCCUUCCAGUGAAUAUUCAGGACUGAUAUCCUUCAGGAUGGACUGGUUUGAUCUCCUUGCAGUCCAAGGGACUCUCAAGUCUUCUGCAGCACCACAGCUGGAAAGCAUCAAUUCUUCGGUGCUCAGCCUUCUUUAUAGUCCAACUCUCACAUCCAUACAUGACCACUGCAAAAAUCAUAGCUUUGACUAUACAGACCUUUGUCAGCAAAGUGAUAUCUCUGCUUUUUUAUACACUGUCUAGGUUUGUCAUAGCUAUUCUCUAAUUUCGUGGCUGCAGUCACCAUCCACAGUGAUUUUGGAUCCCAAGAAUACUAUUCAAGG